GCAUCCGUAGUAUAUAGGUGAUUACAGCGCGUUGCCAACGCGUAGAGUCGGGUUCGAGUCCCGACGGAUGCU
rnacentral:tRNA from 1 species